GAUGAAUCAGAAGCAAUUGAUAAUGACAAGAGUUGCAGACCAGAAAAUAAACUUGACAGAAUGUCCACUGUUGUUGAGGAACCUGGUCAACCUGAAACCAAGGCCAACAUGAGCAUAGUAAAAGAAGAACAUGCAGACAACCAAUCAAGAGAACAUGUGAUAGCAGAAUGCGGUGUGCUUGAAGAUGAAGACCUACAAUCAUUGCCUACUACAAUGU